rnacentral:rRNA from 1 species
UACGUAGGGGGCAAGCGUUACCCGGAUUUACUGGGCGUAAAGCGCGUGUAGGCGGCUGGCCAAGUGUGGUGUGAAAUCCCCCGGCUCAACCGGGGAACUGCAUUGCAAACUGGUCUGGCUAGAGUGCAGGAGAGGGAAGUGGAAUUCCUGGUGUAGCGGUGAAAUGCGCAGAUAUCAGGAGGAACACCGGUGGCGAAGGCGGGUCUCUGGGCCGAUAUUGACGCUGAGGAGCGAAAGCGUGGGGAGCAAACAGG